UGUGUGUGUGUGUGUGUGUGUGUGUGUGUACAGGUACAUAUGCAGAGGUCAGAGGACAACUUUUGGCUUCCUACCUUUAUGUGGGUUCCAGAGAUCAAACUCAGGUCAUCAGGCUUUUCAAGCCAUUUACCUGAUCAUGGAACUCACCAGCCCUCAGGGUGGUUUCUGUCACACUAACUUUGCUCCUGUGUUUUUCUAUAUAGAUAACACAGUUCUUGGUUCUGCUAUGAACCUAUUCUAACAGUGACUUUAGUCAGGCUAUUCUAGGUAAGGUUUUUCUUUGUUGUUUUUUUGUUUGUUUGUUUCGAGACAGGGUUUCUCUGUGGCUUUGGAGGCUGUCCUAGAACUAGCUCUUGUAGACCAGGCUGGUCUCACAGAGAUCCACCUGCCUCUAUCUCUCGAGUGCUGGGAUUAAAGGUGUGCAUGCACCACCAACACCCGGCUUAGAUAAGGUGUUUUCGUGAGAACAUAUGUUGUCACUUGAUGUGAAACUAGCUGACAAUUUCCCUCUUUCUCUAUAAGGAGUUCAUGAUGAAUUUUCUUCCUCUUGAUAGGGAUGACAGUACACCUUUCUCAUCUUGUCUUGAAACCCAUGAAGGCUUUCUGUUAUGAUUUAUUGAUGGGGAUUUGGAGUCCUUCUCCAUUCAUCUCAGGACAGCAUCCUGCCUACUACAUCAGUUAUGCCACAGUCCUAAGGCAACACAUCACAUUUUGGUGUGCUGUCCUGAUCUUUUUGUUGAGAAUCCUGGAAGGUAGCCAACGGUCCAGCAAAGUGGAAGAUGCCAGGUGUCUCGGGAUGAAGGGCAGGCAGCACUGCCAUAUGGGCCAGUGACCCAAAAGACCUAAAGGUGAUGGCAGCAAGUGGGGAUGAUGUGUGGACCCAUGAAAGGAAGGUUCUAGGUGAGCAGUUGAGUGCUAGUCUCCCACCUGAGCUGAGAAUGACUGGUGUGGGAAGCACCAAGAGAUCAGGGAGUGAGUGGUGCCAGUCACACACUCUGCUCCUUCCCCAGGCAUUCCUGGGUGUGUGUCCUCUGAUUGCUAAAUGGGACUUCAGCAAAGCAUGCAUUGGGUAUGGAAACACUCGGUUUCUCCCCUCGGCUGUCUCUUGCUCAAUGGACUCAAGUUUCUGUUUGCUCCACUCAAGAGAGCUGGGGAUUUCCAAGGUUACCAAUGAUUGCUAUUGUUGGUUAGUGGAUACUGUAGAAAGCCUUAUUUUAGGAAUACGAAAAUUUGUGAACAUAUAUGAAAAUAGAACAGUACAAAAAACUUCAUGUACCUGUCAGACACCUCAGUUCACACUUUUGGAAGUAUGUCCGUUUUGCUCCUUGAAUAUUUUAUUUUUACUUGUAUAUAUGGCAUAUGGCAAUAUUUUAUUUUUACUUGUAUAUAUGGCAUGAAUCUCUCUCUCUCUCUCUCUCUCUCUCUCUCUCUCUCUCUCUCU
rnacentral:lncRNA from 1 species